rnacentral:rRNA from 1 species
AUGGCGUUUGGGUCAAAACGUAAGUUAGCAGAUCGGAGUGACAUCCAGGAGGAUGACGGUGAUGAUGUUGAUCUCAUCAAUUCCGAUGAUGAGCGUAAUAGCGUUGAUGAACAAGAUGAAUCUGCCGAGCAUGGUACUGCAAAACCUGCUAAAUCCCUUCUAGAUGAGGUAUUUUUUCUUGAUGCACCUAAAGGGAAGAACUCUGGUGGAUCAAGACCCUGGCGAUGCAAACAUUGUGAUAAGAAGUACACGAGUAGUUAUACAAGAAUUCAUCAGCACUUCUUUGGUGUUGGUCCUGGCAAGACGAAACAAAUUCCUCGCUGCUCUGUCGCAAGUGAUCGCGUCAAGUAUAAGAAAAUAUAUGAUAAGUACUACCAACCUGAGAAAGUACAAGCUUCAGGCUCGGCGCCUAAAAAGCAAUUAGUAGAAGCUUUUGCUGGGGUGGAAAGAGAUGCAGUGGACAUGCAAAUAAUGUUGUUCCUUUGUGCUAAUGGAAUUCCCUUUAAUGUGUUGAGAAGUCCUCAAUACUAUGAAAUGGUAGCAGCCAUCCAGAGAGCACCAAAGGGAUACAAACCUCCUGCAUAUGAGAAGGCUAGGACUACUCUUCUAGAUGCAUGUAAGAGAAAGGUGGAGAAUGAUUUGGCUCCGGUUAGACAAACAUGGUAUUCCCAUGGUGUCUCUGUUGUUUCUGACGGAUGGACAAAUAUGAAGAACCAUCCAUUAAUCAACGUAAUAGCAUCGAAUAGCUGUGGUUCAAUGUUUCUGUACGCAGAAGACUUCUCUGGAGAAGAGAAGACGGGUGAAGCCAUUGCACAAUUCUUACUGCAAGCCAUUGAGGAGAUUGGCCCUUCCAAUGUCCUUCAGGUCAUCACUGAUAAUGCAUCUAAUUGUAGAGUUGCGGGUGAAGAAAUUGAGAAAGUGCAUAAGCAUAUAUUUUGGUCUCCAUGUGUGGUUCACACACUGAAUCUAGUAUUCAAAGAUUUUGCAAAAAAGUUUGCUUGGAUGGUUGAUACAUACCAGACUGGGAAAGCAAUUGUGAAGUUCUUUAGGAACCACCAGCACUUUCAAGAUCUCUUUAGACACAACUCCAAGUUGGAUCUUUUGAAGGUCUCAAAAACAAGAUUUUCUUCUCAUUAUAUUGUGCUUAAGAGGCUUAUGGAUGUUCGAGAGGCGCUCACAACUACCAUUGUCACAAGCAAAUGGAAGGAACUGGUGAAGGCUUGUGAUGUACAAACAAGAGCAGCAGCAAAUGCGAUUGCCCAAAAUAUCAUUGAUGAGACAUUUUGGGAUGAGAUUAAAAUCAUCCUUGACAUCACAAAACCAUUAUAUAUGGUAAUCAAGUUCAGUGACGGAGAAGGUCCAAAAUCUGGUGAUAUAUAUGAAAGAAUGGACAAUAUGCUUGGCGAGAUGCAAGAAGUCAUGACAAGGGAAGAUAACCCUCACAAAGAUGAUUGGUCGAAGGUAAAUGAAAUUAUUCUUUAUCGGUGGGGAAAGAUGAACUGGCAUUUUCAUUGCUUAGAAUUUGCUCUUUCUCCUAAGUAUUAUGAUCAAGCCUAUCUUGCAAGUCCUGCUCCUGGUGGUGGUCAAAGGAAAGCUCCAAAUGAUGACAGUGAGGUUAUAGAAGGUGUUAUAGAGGCUCUAAAUAGAAUUGCAGAAGAUAAAAAAGAGUAUGCUCUUUUACGUGAGGACUUAACACCUUUAUAA